UCCUCCUCAGCCCCCAACCCCCGGAGGCACUAAUUCGAAUUGUGCGUGCGGCUAGGGCUCUUUGGCAGCUGGGUUGGACCUAGUGUUGUGAUGAGGAAAUUGAGUGUUCACAUUACUAUGUCUUUUCUACAAAUUAUGCCAAAAUGAACAUUUGUUAUGCUCAUGGAUUUGUGGAUCAGGGAUUCAAACGGGGAUGACUUAUCUCCGCUUCACAAUGUCUGAGGCCUCAGGUGGAGCACUUGAAGGCUGCGUCUGUCAUCACCUGAAGACUCAUCUGCUCACACGUCCAGGCAUUGAUGCUGGUGGAUGGAUGACUGACGAUAGGAAAACUCCUCCUGUCUGGGGAAACUCCACCCUGAUCCUCAAGGAUGUGGUUUGGUUCUAUGCUCUUGAUAAGGUAAUCAAUUGUAAGAGAC